rnacentral:rRNA from 1 species
GCAGCCGCCGCGGUAAUACGGAGGGUGCAAGCGUUAUCCGGAUUCACUGGGUUUAAAGGGUGCGUAGGCGGAUCUGUAAGUCAGUGGUGAAGUCUCCAGGCUUAACCUGGAAACUGCCGUUGAUACUAUAGGUCUUGAAUUUUGUGGAGGUUAGCGGAAUAUGUCAUGUAGCGGUGAAAUGCAUAGAUAUGACAUAGAACACCAAUUGCGAAGGCAGCUGGCUACACAACUAUUGACGCUGAGGCACGAAAGCGUGGGGAUCAAACAGGAUUAGAUACCCCGGUAGUCCCUGUCUCUUAUAC